rnacentral:piRNA from 1 species
UUUGUGGUUGUUCAAUCUUGCCUGUGU